GUACACUCCUACGGGAGGCAGCAGUGGGGAAUAUUGGACAAUGGGCGCAAGCCUGAUCCAGCCAUGCCGCGUGAGUGAUGAAGGCCCUAGGGUUGUAAAGCUCUUUCACCGGUGAAGAUAAUGACGGUAACCGGAGAAGAAGCCCCGGCUAACUUCGUGCCAGCAGCCGCGGUAAUACGAAGGGGGCUAGCGUUGUUCGGCUUUACUGGGCGUAAAGCGCACGUAGGCGGACUAUUAAGUCAGGGGUGAAAUCCCGGGGCUCAACCCCGGAACUGCCUUUGAUACUGGUAGUCUUGAGUUCGAGAGAGGUGAGUGGAAUUCCGAGUGUAGAGGUGAAAUUCGUAGAUAUUCGGAGGAACACCAGUGGCGAAGGCGGCUCACUGGCUCGAUACUGACGCUGAGGUGCGAAAGCGUGGGGGGCAAACAGGAUUAGAAACCCCAGUAGUCC
rnacentral:rRNA from 1 species